rnacentral:pre_miRNA from 1 species
CAUCCUAAUUCCAUGCUUGUUUUCAGACUCUGCCGUCGAUUUGGACGCAUUGUCUGGGGACGAGGAUAGCGAUGGGAUAUC